AUUCCCAGUGGGAUGAAGCGC
rnacentral:miRNA from 1 species